UAAUAGGUUUUUAGUGGAUAUUUCUCUAUAUAACAUACCAUUUUUGUACCAUUUAAUGUACUUGCAUUGUACUAUAUUUAGUAAAGGGAAAUUUUUAUAAGGGAAAUUUAUAGCAUUUCAAUAUCAGAAAUAUAUGCUUUAGUAGCAUUAUCGUGUUGUUUUGUGUUUUCUAUUUAUUUUUAUUGUCUUGUCUUUCUCUUCUCAUUGUCUUUAUUGAGUUUAUUCUGUUUUUUGUUUGUUUUCAUUCUAGGGCUUUGGAAUCUAAAUCUGUUUCUUUCAUUUAAUAGAUAAUAUUAAAUAUGUAAGAGCUGUAUUUAGCUUCUGCCUUUCUAUUACAAUAAGAAGGAUAUAGUGUCUACAGUGUCUUUACCCAGAACAAGACAGGACUUAUAGCAAUACAGAAUAUUUUGUUGAAUAUGAAUAUGAGAAUAUGAAUUCUCAGUUUUCAUCACUUUUAUUUGACACAUUGCAUCUUUUUGGACGAGUUUCUUAAUUACAUUAAGCUUCACAGACACCUCAUUAAUAUUUUAGGACUGAUUAUACGCUUUACUGAUUCUUUUCUCAUAUUGAUUAUGUGUGUGUGUGUGUGUGAUGUAUAUCUUAUUCUUUUUAUCUCAAGUGAUCCUUUUAGGAUAUGGCUUAUGUUCUUGAAUGCUAACCAUCCUCAAUCUUUGUCUCAAAUAGUCUUUAUUUUGCCUUUGCACUUUAAUGAUCAUUUUGCUAAACCUAGAAUUCUAGGAGCAAAAGAAUAUUUUCUCAAAACUUUUGGGGUAUUCUUGACGCAGUGUUUGAGGACAAUAUAAUACUUUUUCCUGUUGUUGGUAGUCUUUUUGUUUUUCUCUGAAACUUCUAAAAAAAUUUAUCUGGGUAUUAUAAUACUUCAUCAGAUGUUUCUGAGUAUAGAUGUUGUAUAUUUAUUCUUCUUGAACAACUCUUUCAUCCUAAAAACAUGAACAUGACCUUUUUCCUAUUAUUGCUUUGAUCAUUUCUUCCUUUUUUUUUCAAUCUCUAUUAUUUCCUUUUUUUU
rnacentral:lncRNA from 1 species